GCAUGGUUCUAAAGUGAAAGAUGGUUUUGCUAUCACUUAUAGAUGGACCCGCGCCGUAUUAGCUAGUUGGUAAGGUAACGGCUUACCAAGGCGACGAUACGUAGCCGACCUGAGAGGGUGAUCGGCCACACUGGAACUGAGACACGGUCCAGACUCCUACGGGAGGCAGCAGUAGGGAAUCUUCCGCAAUGGGCGAAAGCCUGACGGAGCAACGCCGCGUGAGUGAUGAAGGGUUUCGGCUCGUAAAACUCUGUUAUUAGGGAAGAACAAACGUGUAAGUAACUGUGCAUGUCUUGACGGUACCUAAUCAGAAAGCCACGGCUAACUACGUGCCAGCAGCCGCGGUAAUACGUAGGUGGCAAGCGUUAUCCGGAAUUAUUGGGCGUAAAGCGCGCGUAGGCGGUUUCUUAAGUCUGAUGUGAAAGCCCACGGCUCAACCGUGGAGGGUCAUUGGAAACUGGGAAACUUGAGUGCAGAAGAGGAAAGUGGAAUUCCAUGUGUAGCGGUGAAAUGCGCAGAGAUAUGGAGGAACACCAGUGGCGAAGGCGACUUUCUGGUCUGUAACUGACGCUGAUGUGCGAAAGCGUGGGGAUCAAACAGGAUUAGAUACCCUGGUAGUCCACGCCGUAAACGAUGAGUGCUAAGUGUUAGGGGGUUUCCGCCCCUUAGUGCUGCAGCU
rnacentral:rRNA from 1 species